rnacentral:rRNA from 1 species
CGUGCUUAACACAUGCAAGUCGAACGGUAACAGAGAAGAGCUUGCUCUUUUGCUGACGAGUGGCGCACGGGUGCGUAACGCGUAUACAAUCUACCUUUUACGGGAGGAUAGCCUUUAGAAAUGAAGAUUAAUAUUCCAUAGUAAGUUGCCUUGGCAUCGAGAUAACUUUAAAGUUUCGGCGGUAAAAGAUGAGUAUGCGUUCUAUUAGCUAGAUGGUGUGGUAACGGCACACCAUGGCGACGAUAGAUAGGGGUCCUGAGAGGGGGAUCCCCCACACUGGUACUGAGACACGGACCAGACUCCUACGGGAGGCAGCAGUGAGGAAUAUUGGACAAUGGGCGAGAGCCUGAUCCAGCCAUGCCGCGUGCAGGAAGACUGCCCUAUGGGUUGUAAACUGCUUUUAUACGGGAAGAAACCUAGUCACGUGUGACUAGCUGACGGUACCGUAAGAAUAAGGAUCGGCUAACUCCGUGCCAGCAGCCGCGGUAAUACGGAGGAUCCAAGCGUUAUCCGGAAUCAUUGGGUUUAAAGGGUCCGUAGGUGGAUAAUUAAGUCAGGGGUGAAAGUCUGCAGCUCAACUGUAGAAUUGCCCUUGAUACUGGUUAUCUUGAAUUAUUGUGAAGUGGUUAGAAUAUGUAGUGUAGCGGUGAAAUGCAUAGAUAUUACAUAGAAUACCAAUUGCGAAGGCAGAUCACUAACAAUAUAUUGACACUGAUGGACGAAAGCGUGGGGAGCGAACAGGAUUAGAUACCCUGGUAGUCCACGCCGUAAACGAUGGUCACUAGCUGUUCGGACUUCGGUUUGAGUGGCUAAGAGAAAUUGAUAAGUGACCCACCUGGGGAGUACGUUCGCAAGAAUGAAACUCAAAGGAAUUGACGGGGGCCCGCACAAGCGGUGGAGCAUGUGGUUUAAUUCGAUGAUACGCGAGGAACCUUACCAGGGCUUAAAUGUAGAUUGCAUUAAGUAGAGAUACUUAUUUCUUCGGACUAUCUACAAGGUGCUGCAUGGUUGUCGUCAGCUCGUGCCGUGAGGUGU